CUAUAAUGCAAGUCGAGCGGACGGAUGGGAGCUUGCUCCCUGAAGUCAGCGGCGGACGGGUGAGUAACACGUGGGCAACCUGCCUGUAAGACUGGGAUAACUUCGGGAAACCGGAGCUAAUACCGGAUAAUGCACAGCCUCUCAUGAGGUUAUGCUGAAAGAUGGUUUCGGCUAUCACUUACAGAUGGGCCCGCGGCGCAUUAGCUAGUUGGUGAGGUAACGGCUCACCAAGGCAACGAUGCGUAGCCGACCUGAGAGGGUGAUCGGCCACACUGGGACUGAGACACGGCCCAGACUCCUACGGGAGGCAGCAGUAGGGAAUCUUCCGCAAUGGACGAAAGUCUGACGGAGCAACGCCGCGUGAGUGAUGAAGGUUUUCGGAUCGUAAAACUCUGUUGUCAGGGAAGAACAAGUGCCGGAGUAACUGCCGGCACCUUGACGGUACCUGACCAGAAAGCCACGGCUAACUACGUGCCAGCAGCCGCGGUAAUACGUAGGUGGCAAGCGUUGUCCGGAAUUAUUGGGCGUAAAGCGCGCGCAGGCGGUCUCUUAAGUCUGAUGUGAAAGCCCACGGCUCAACCGUGGAGGGUCAUUGGAAACUGGGGGACUUGAGUGCAGAAGAGGAAAGUGGAAUUCCACGUGUAGCGGUGAAAUGCGUAGAGAUGUGGAGGAACACCAGUGGCGAAGGCGACUUUCUGGUCUGUAACUGACGCUGAGGCGCGAAAGCGUGGGGAGCAAACAGGAUUAGAUACCCUGGUAGUCCACGCCGUAAACGAUGAG
rnacentral:rRNA from 2 species